rnacentral:rRNA from 1 species
AUUGAACGCUGGCGGAAUGCUUUACACAUGCAAGUCGAACGGCAGCACGGGAGCUUGCUCCUGGUGGCGAGUGGCGAACGGGUGAGUAAUAUAUCGGAACGUAUCCAAUAAUGGGGAUAACUAAGCGAAAGCUUGGCUAAUACCGCAUACGCCCUGGAGGGGGAAAGCGUAGGGAUCUUCGGCCUGGCGUUGAUGGAGCC